rnacentral:rRNA from 1 species
UGAGGAACAUGACCUUCGGCGGGGGAUAGCCGGCCCAACGGCCGGGUAAUACCGCGUACGACCUUCCGGGGACAUCCCUGGAUGGUGAAAGCAGCAAUGCGCCGAUGGAGUGCCUCGCGGCCUAUCAGCUAGUUGGUGAGGUAACGGCUCACCAAGGCAACGACGGGUAGCUGGUCUGAGAGGAUGGCCAGCCACAUUGGGACUGAGACACGGCCCAGACUCCUACGGGAGCAG